AUUGAACGCUGGCGGCAUGCCUUACACAUGCAAGUCGAACGGUAACGCGGGGCAACCUGGCGACGAGUGGCGAACGGGUGAGUAACGCAUCGGAACGUGCCCAGUAGUGGGGGAUAGCCCGGCGAAAGCCGGAUUAAUACCGCAUACGACCUACGGGUGAAAGCGGGGGAUCGCAAGACCUCGCGCUAUUGGAGCGGCCGAUGUCAGAUUAGGUUGUCGGUGGGGUAAAAGCCUACCAAGCCUGCGAUCUGUAGCUGGUCUGAGAGGACGACCAGCCACACUGGGACUGAGACACGGCCCAGACUCCUACGGGAGGCAGCAGUGGGGAAUUUUGGACAAUGGGCGCAAGCCUGAUCCAGCCAUGCCGCGUGCGGGAAGAAGGCCUUCGGGUUGUAAACCGCUUUUGUCAGGGAAGAAACGCUCUGGGUUAAUACCCCGGGGUAAUGACGGUACCUGAAGAAUAAGCACCGGCUAACUACGUGCCAGCAGCCGCAGUAAAAC
rnacentral:rRNA from 1 species